rnacentral:lncRNA from 1 species
CAGGGAGAGACUGUUUGUAACCCUGCGGUUCACUUCGCGCGCGCGAGCGAGCGCGCAUCAGCCCCCACCCCUCCUGAGGGCAGCGCCGGCCGCGCACGCCUACUAUUUUGAGAACAAAGGAAGGCAAAAUAUAGAACCCCGGAGAGAGGGUGCAGGGGACGUCUAGACCCUCCCGCCUUGCACGCGCGCACACCCUCAACACACAAGCGGCUGUGAGCAGAGGCGGGGAGGCGACAGGCGAGGCCGAAGAACUCCGAGGGCGCCGGAAGAAACGCCUGCCUGGAGGACGGAGGGGCGCGGCUGCGUAGGCACUCCAAUCUUCGCCUUCACCUUGAACAUCAUCUCCUGGCUUCCAGCACAGACUCUUAGCCUUCCAGUGUGGAUCCUUCAGCCUUCCAGAGUAGACUCUUCAGCCUUCCAUCACAGACCCAUUUGCCUCCUGACACAGACUCGAAAGGGACACUGCAGUGAUCUCCAGACCUUCGGCUGA